UGGACUCAGAAUUUACAAGACUGCUGGGAUAGCACCAUGACCAGUCUUGUAAAUUCUGAGUCCACA